rnacentral:rRNA from 1 species
AAGUGGAUUAGUGGCGCACGGGUGAGUAACGCAUAGGUAACAUGCCCUUUAGUCUGGGAUAGCCACUGGAAACGGUGAUUAAUACUGGAUACUCCCUACGGGGGAAAGUUUUUCGCUAAAGGAUUGGCCUAUGUCCUAUCAGCUUGUUGGUGAGGUAAUGGCUCACCAAGGCUAUGACGGGUAUCCGGCCUGAGAGGGUGAUCGGACACACUGGAACUGAGACACGGUCCAGACUCCUACGGGAGGCAGCAGUAGGGAAUAUUGCUCAAUGGGGGAAACCCUGAAGCAGCAACGCCGCGUGGAGGAUGAAGGUUUUAGGAUUGUAAACUCCUUUUGUAAGAGAAGAUU